rnacentral:rRNA from 1 species
UACGGGGGGAGCAAGCGUUGUUCGGAUUUACUGGGCGUAAAGGGCGCAUAGGCGGCCACCGCAAGUCGGUUGUGAAAUCUCUGGGCUUAACCCAGAAAGGUCAAUCGAUACUGCGGGGCUAGAGUGCAGAAGGGGCAACUGGAAUUCUCGGUGUAGCGGUGAAAUGCGUAGAUAUCGAGAGGAACACCUGCGGCGAAGGCGGGUUGCUGGGCUGACACUGACGCUGACAGCGCGAAAGCUAGGGGGGCGAACGGG